CGCAUCUGUGCAUGCAGCAUAUCAAUAAGCGGAGGAAAAGAAACUAACAAGGAUUCCCCUAGUAACGGCGAGUGAAGCGGGAAGAGCUCAAAUUUGAAAUCUUAAAGGGUUUCCCUUUACGAAUUGUAGUUUAAAGAAGUGUUUUCUGUUGAGGUUUUGGUAAAAGUUCUUUGGAAUAGGACAUCAUAGAGGGUGAGAAUCCCGUAUUUGACCUUUACUUUCAACUUUGUGAUACACUUUCAAAGAGUCGGAUUGCUUGGGAAUGCAGUCCAAAAUGGGUGGUAAAUUUCAUCUAAAGCUAAAUAUUGGCGAGAGACCGAUAGCGAACAAGUACCGUGAGGGAAAGAUGAAAAGAACUUUGAAAAGAGAGUUAAACAGUACGUGAAAUUGUCAAAAGGGAAGCGUUUGACACCAGUGUUGUUUUUCUGAAAAUCAAUUAAAGAACUGUUUAUGCUAAGCUGUUUAGACUUUAUCAGCUAUCUGUUUAGUUUUGAGCUUUUCUUUAAUGCACUUUUCAGUUAACAAGUCAACAUCAAUUUCUUUUGCUGUAAAAAAGCUUGAGGAAGGUGGCUUGAGAUUCGUCUUAAGUGUUUAUAGCCUCUUGCCUAUGCAGUCGGAGAGAUUGAGGUCUGCAGCGUAGAUCCUUCGGGGCUAAAUGCACUUUGUGCUAAGUUAUAGCAUUUUAUAGACAACUUGUUGACUAUGAUUUGUCUUGUAGCUUACUCGCUUAUGUUAUUUUACCUACGCUUAGGAUGUUGACAGCAGUAUAGACUGU
rnacentral:rRNA from 1 species